ACUUGUCUUGAAGAAGUAGAAAAGAAAAAGUUGUUGGGGGAAGGAGACGUAAAGAAACCUGCUGCUGCUGCUGCUUCCUUGACCUAAAAAGAGAGAUAAGAAUUAGCAAAGCAAAGUAGAUAAGUCAGUUUUUUUUUUUUUUUUUUUCGGUCAGUUGAAAGCACCUGUGAAUAUUAGAGCUCCAGAUCUGCUUGAUUAGCAGCACCUGUGAAUCACUCCUCAAAGCAGAUGAAGUGAUGGGACUUAGAUCUAGUCCUACAAUCAACGCCGAUCCGCAAAUCUUGCUUGAUCAUCCAUCUCUCAUAAUCACUCCUAGAUCUGCUUCACAGGCAUUAACAAAAAUGUUUUUGAUACACAUAGGCAUAUCUCAUCUUCCAGAUCUUCCAGCUGAUAUCACAAAUUAAUACAUCAAAAAAGAAAAAGGCUGAUACACAUAUUUUGGUGAAGGCUGAACAAGCUAAACAGCAUAUCGGAGAUGAUAUUCAACACUAAAGAGGUGCUUUUCGCAAGGCAUUUGCUAAACUCGAACGCAGACACAAGAGUUGCAUGGGUCAAUGGAAGGAAGCUCUUUCCGAAGCAGCUAAUAUAUCUGGAUGGCCUUUCUCCGAUGGCGAACUCUUGUGUACAGGAUAUCGACAAACUUUUAGAUAUGGAGAAAAGUAAUGUUCGCAUUGUAGGUAUACGAGGGAUUGGAGGAAUAGGAAAGAUCACAUUUGCUAAGGCCAUGUUCAAUUCAAGUCGCCCUAAGUUUAAAAUUAGCUGUUUUUUGACAGAUGUUAUAUCAACUUCAAUGCCACAUCGAGGGCUCUCCCAACUGCAAGAGACUCAUUUGUUUGAUAUCUUAGGGGACUCAAACUUGAAGGUGAGCGAUUGUAAUAUAUGAGUCAAUUUGAUAAUAAAAAUGAUGAAACACAAAAAACUUAUCUUAAUCCUUGAUGUUGUGAGCAGUUCGGAGAUAUUAGAUAACUUAGCUCCAUAAUUUGAUAGUUUUGGUCCAGGCAGUAGAAUUAUUAUAACACAAGAGAUGAACAUUGACUAUCUGCUCAUCAAGUUGAUUUAAUAUAUGAGGUCAAGAUGAUAGAUGAAGGUCAAGCAUUGGUAUUGUUUAGUUUGAAUGCAUAUUCAACAACAGUGAACCUCCAACCAAUUACAUUAAGCUUGAACAUCGGACGGUGUACUAUGCACAAGGUCUUCCAUUAGAUUUGAUACUUCUACCAGUUAAGUGACAACUUAAGAGUAUCAAAUCUAAUGGAAGACCUUGUGCAUAGUGUACCGCCCGAUAUUCAAGCUUAAUGUAAUUAGUUGGAGGUCCAUCACUAUUGAAUGCAUUCAAAUGAAACAACUUCAAUAUUUGACCUUCAUCUAACAUCUUGACCUCAUGAAUUGAAUGAGCAGUUGGUCAAUAUUUAUCUCUUGUUGUUAUAAUAAUUCUACUUCCUGGACCAAAAAUAUCAAACUAUGGAGCUGAGUUAUUUAAUUGCUCCGAAUCACUCACAUCAUCAAGGAUUAAGAGAAGUUUUUUGUGUUCCAUCCUUUUCUUUAUCAAAUAGACUCCUAUAUGAGCAUUGCUCACCUUCAAGUUUGAGUCCUUUAAGAUAUCAAACAAAAGAAUCUCUUGUAGUUGGGUAAAGCCUCGAUGUGGUAUUGAAUUUGAUCUAACAUCUGCCAAAAAACAGCUACUUUCAAACUUGUGGCGAGUUGAAUUAAACACGGCCUUAGCAAGUGUGGUCUUUCCUAUUCCGCCAAUCCCCCAUACACCUACAAUGCAAACAUUACUUUUCUCCAUGUCUACGAAUGUUAAUCUUCAACCUAUGCAUAUGUUCCCACCACCCCAACAACAUUUGAGUUUGCCUAUAGACCAAAGGAAUCACCAUGGUACCAAGAUCGUGAUAAGUGGACAUCCCAAAUCUAAUAUGGAGAUCUUUCUAGUUGUGCUUGUUGAACAUAAGAAGAGAGAGAUGAUGGAAGAAGAAAAAGAGAAGCUUGAAAUCCUAUGUUUCCAUUGUUACCAAGGAAGCCAAGUUGCUAAGAAGGGACCGCGUAGCAUCUCUAAAGAGGGUCAAGCAUCUUGUGGAACCAAGACUGCAACCUCCUGGUUACUCUUGAUGAAGAGAUUCUACGUCAGGCUGAAAACGUUAAACUUAGCGCUACUUGGAAGACAACUAAAUGAAUGGAGGAGAAAAUGGUGGCAUUGAAAGCUUCUGUAUCUACAUUUCAGUCAUGAGCAUUGUUGAUGUUCAAGGAAUUAGAGCAGAAAGAUGUGUUGAUAGUUGGCUUUACUUGAAUGAUGGACUAAUCCCAUGUUGAUAUGCCCAGCCCAAACAAUUGUGGGGGUAGUCUUAUGGCACUACACAUGCCUAGGUUAAUUAGGAUAUAUAUAUGUACCACACAUAUUAUAUAACUGCUACUGCAUACAUAUUGGUGAUAAAGAUAGAAGCAUCUUCUUUGUUUCCUUUGAUAUACAAAGUGCAGCAUAAUUGAAGGAACUUAAGAGCUUUGAGUUGGUGUUCGUGUUGGUGUCUUGUAAUUGGUUAGUUUCUAUUAGGAGUCGGGAAUUGGUUGUAUUGGGGUUUUGUGUAGGAGUUCAAUCAUAAACUCUAUUGUAUUCUUUCCAAUUGAUUGUAAUGGAAUUUAUCUUCGAAAGUUGAUGUACCUCAAUCACACUGAUUGAGUGAAUCACUAUAAA